rnacentral:rRNA from 1 species
ACCUACGGGGCGCAGCAGUGGGGGAUAUUGCACAAUGGGCGCAAGCCUGAUGCAGCGACGCCGCGUGAGUGAAGAAGUAUUUCGGUAUGUAAAGCUCUAUCAGCAGGGAAGAUAAUGACGGUACCUGACUAAGAAGCCCCGGCUAACUACGUGCCAGCAGCCGCGGUAAUACGUAGGGGGCAAGCGUUAUCCGGAUUUACUGGGUGUGAAGGGUGCGUAGGUGGCAGGUCAAGUCAGAUGUGACAGCCCGGGGCUCAACCCCGGUACUGCAUUUGAACCUGCCCAGCUGGAGU